CGCCGCGCCGACACAGGCGCCGCCCGUCACCCCCACCGUGCCGUACAUCACCGAGGCCAUCCUGCAGCAGCCGGCAGACGACUUCCUGGCGAUGCACAAGAACCAGACCAUGGCGGCCGCGCACCUGGACGCCACGUACCUGCAGAACCUGCAGUCGCUGUACUGGGACUUCAACGGCACCUUCCACCUGUCCAAGUUCGACGACUUCGACCACACGGCCAUCGACGAGCUGAACGAGAUCAAGGCCACGACGCUGGCGCCGCCCUGGCUGCCCAAGGGCCCCGACAAGGGCAAGGUGCCCAAGGAGCUGCCCCAGUUCGACUCGAACCUCGUGACCAACGUGACGGUGCAGCUCGGCGAGAACGCCUUCCUACGGUGCAGGGUGCGCAACCUCGGCGAGCACAAGGUGAUGUGGAUCCGGCGGCGGGACUGGCACAUCCUCACGUCGGGCACCACCACCUACACGACGGACGAGCGGUACGAGGUGGUGCACCCCGAGGGCGCCGAAGAGUGGCACCUCGUCAUCAGAUACGUCCAGAAGCGCGACAACGGCACAUACGAGUGUCAAGUGCCGACGGGGGCGGGCAAGAUGUCGCACUACUUCAACCUGCACGUGAUGGUGCCCGCCGCCUUCAUUCUCGGCAGCGGCGAGUACCACAUCGGCGAGGGCUCCACCAUCAGCCUCGUCUGCAUCAUCGAGAACAGCCCGGUGCCGCCGCAGUACGUGAUGUGGUACCACAACGGGCGCAUGAUCAACUACGACACGGUGCGCGGCGGGGUGACGGUGUCCACGGAGCCCGGGCCCAAGACGCACUCGCGCCUCGUGGUGAACAGCGCCACGCACGGCGACUCGGGGAACUACACGUGCCGCGCCUCCAACACGGAGGAGGACACCAUCUACGUGUCCGUGAGCAACGAGGGUGACAACACGGCGGCCAUCCAGGGCCAGGGCACGUCCUUCACGUCGCGGGUCGCCGGCCUGCCCUUCCCCUUCAGCGUGCUCAUGGCGUGCCUCAGCGCGUGGAGGACCACGUUGUCGGCGUCAUAGCCUGCAUAGCCUGCAUAGCCUGCUCGGGGAUGCCCGCAGGGAUGCCCGCAGGGAUGCUGGAGCUGGUCGGCCGCCGGGUCCUUCGUGGUCCUUGGCCGACUGACUGGAGGGGCGUCCUCUAGUCCUGCGCGGCCUGCCAGCCCUGCCAGUCUCUCCUGGAGCUGCCUUGGCUGCCGGCUGCGGCUGCUGCAGUGUGCCGCACCCCUUCCACCCCGUCCGCCAUCCGUCCACUGCUCCCGGACGCUGCAGCGCUGUCCACGCCCCGCGCCGCUAGCUGCUAGCUAGCUGCCCCAUGCAGAGCGCGGCCGGCGUGGGCCCCGCCACCCUCUGCCCCACCCCACACGUGGGUGUCGAGUGGCCAACCUCAUCGGACCCUUCUUGAAAGUGUGUGUGUUUGUGUGUGAGUGAGUGUGUGCGCCAGUUGCAAUGCGUUGCAAUGUGUGAUAAGGUGAUGUCGCGUGGAGGAGCCGCCAGUGGACUCCCGAGACGCCUCAAGUUAAGUGACGUUGAGAAUAGUGACGCAGUAGCACUGUCCGUGCCGCGUCGCCGCGUCGAUCGGACAAAGAGUUUUGUGUCGUAGUUACACUACGGUGGUGGAGGAUUCAGACUUUCGGCCAUUCUAACAGCCCCAUUUGGCGUGACACCCAGGGACGGGACGGGACACCUGCCCCUUGCGCGCCGCCUCCCUCUCUUCUCAUUGCACCCAGUGACCCAGUGUGCCUCUCAAAAACCGAUGAACCGAUCCACCAAUGGUUUGUGAUCGCGUGUUUACCUAGCCUUGACCCAAUAAGAAAAACAAAAUCAGCUGCUUGGGAUGUUUGAACCUUUGCUUUCCCAUGACCUAAAAAAUUAGCCUUUGACUCACUGUCUCCUCGCCCACCCAAAGAGUUUCAAGACACCCCUCGGCCUAGCCAGGGCGCCAAGGCCUCGUCUAUCUUUACCUUCUACUCGAGUUAGAGCGAACGAAGUUCGAAGAAAGGCGGCAAGCGAACAGGCGGCUUGGGCGUCGUCGCGUUUUUCACUUACUACAGCCUGCGACGCACAUUCCGCUGGCUUCAUGAUUUCAUCUCGUAAAGUUGCCAUUCCAUAACCACUUCAAGUCGAAACUCAUUGAAGCUGUGAAUAUAAUUAAGGUUAUUGUGAGUGUGAAGACUUGUUAACGGUUAAAUUUGAGCAUAAAUUUAAUUGACAAGUUACAAAAGGCGACAUCAGUGAGUGUGGUUGCUGUCAAAUUAUUAUUUUUGUUUGAAAAUUGAAUAAAUAAAAUGUACUUCUUAAA
rnacentral:misc_RNA from 1 species